CCAUUUCCCUCGUUCUUUGUCGUUGUUUCCCGAACAUGUCUUUGAAAAUGUCAGACAAACUCGUGUGGGGUUCACACACAUAAACCUGGUUCUUAGUCUUGGAUCUGGAGACACAGAAUCGUGUUUGUCAGAGUUAAAGUUGGAUUUGUUUGUGCGGUGUAAAUGUAAAUAUGACAAUGCAAGAUUCAAAGCUGCACAGGUCUCAACACACAAGAGACAGACAGACAGUUUCAUAAAGACUUCAACAUGCUGGACCAGAGAUGAUUCUCAGCUUAAACUUGCCUACAGAAGAGGAAAGUAGGGAUGGCCACAUAUAAGGUGGAACAAGGCUCUGAGAAAGGAUUGAAGCCAGAACUACUGAAGUCCUGUGCCCCGAGAGAAGUCCUGAUACACUGUCAUUGUCACAACUUUCUACUCUACUCUGAAGAAACCAGGACCUGGACAACACCUCACUUCUCUGAGUUCUUCAGGACAAGAUUUUUCAACAUGCUGAAGUCUGUGGCCAGAGAAGACAGUAACUCUGACAACAGCAGCUGGUUUCUUCUUGUACACACUGAGCAGAACAAGACCCAGAUGGACUGUACCACUUCUGUGAGUUCUUCAACACCAAGAAGCCUUUGAGGGAAGAAGUCUACAUCCAAGUGUAACAGUAAGAAAUAAUCUAAGCAGGACCAAUGUUAUUAUAUAUUAUCCCUGCAUUGCUACAGAUUCUAGCUACACUGGUGGCAGCUUUUAACAUUUCAGUUUUACUCUUCUUUGACAAGUUUGUAGACAAUCUGAGUGAGAUUCAAAAUGUUGCAUUUUGUGCUUCAUACAGACAUGAUGAAGUCUGUGGCCAGUCAGAAGACAGUAACUUUGACAGCUGGUUUCUUCUUGUCUCGAAUUUAUCACAGAGACGAAAUUAUCUAUUUUGCUUAUUGCUGCCUAUAGUUAAAAGCUACAUGUAUCAAAUGAUAUAGAUAUAAGAAUAAUAAGCCACAUCAGUUUAUAUGAUAUACUUGUUACUUUAGUAGUAUAUGUAAGACAAACUUAAUGUGUGGUUUAUAUAAUAAGAAACAUGGCAUUAAGACUUGAGGUGCAGAAAUCUGCAUUAAAAAAAAGGAAUGUUUAUACUGAUUAACUUGCCAUGACCUUAGAAGUAGUAUUUAGAAGUAAUUGAAAAAUUUGUAAUGUCAUGUUCUUGGUUAGUUAUUUCAAUAUUGUAAUUUGGGAAGGGAACUUUGAAAUACACAC